rnacentral:rRNA from 1 species
GGUCAAGGAUGGGCUCGCGGCCUAUCAGCUUGUUGGUGGGGUGAUGGCCUACCAAGGCGACGACGGGUAGCCGGCCUGAGAGGGCGACCGGCCACACUGGGACUGAGACACGGCCCAGACUCCUACGGGAGGCAGCAGUGGGGAAUAUUGCACAAUGGGCGCAAGCCUGAUGCAGCGACGCCGCGUGAGGGAUGAAGGCCUUCGGGUUGUAAACCUCUUUCAGCAGGGAAGAAGCGCAAGUGACGGUACCUGCAGAAGAAGCGCCGGCUAACUACGUGCCAGCAGCCGCGGUAAUACGUAGGGCGCAAGCGUUGUCCGGAAUUAUUGGGCGUAAAGAGCUCGUAGGCGGUUUGUCGCGUCUGCUGUGAAAACCUGAGGCUCAACCUCGGGCUUGCAGUGGGUACGGGCAGACUAGAGUGCGGUAGGGGUGACUGGAAUUCCUGGUGUAGCGGUGGAAUGCGCAGAUAUCAGGAGGAACACCGAUGGCGAAGGCAGGUCACUGGGCCGCAACUGACGCUGAGGAGCGAAAGCAUGGGGAGCGAACAGGAUUAGAUACCCUGGUAGUCCAUGCCGUAAACGUUGGGCACUAGGUGUGGGGCUCAUUCCACGAGUUCCGUGCCGCAGCAAACGCAUUAAGUGCCCCGCCUGGGGAGUACGGCCGCAAGGCUAAAACUCAAAGAAAUUGACGGGGGCCCGCACAAGCGGCGGAGCAUGCGGAUUAAUUCGAUGCAACGCGAAGAACCUUACCAAGGCUUGACAUACACCGGAAAAGUGCAGAGAUGUGCUCCCCGCAAGGUCGGUGUACAGGUGGUGCAUGGUUGUCGUCAGCUCGUGUCGUGAGAUGUUGGGUUAAGUCCCGCAACGAGCGCAACCCUCGUCCUAUGUUGCCAGCACGUCAUGGUGGGGACUCAUAGGAGACUGCCGGGGUCAACUCGGAGGAAGGUGGGGAUGACGUCAAAUCAUCAUGCCCCUUAUGUCUUGGGCUUCACGCAUGCUACAAUGGCCGGUACAAAGGGCUGCGAUACCGCGAGGUGGAGCGAAUCCCAAAAAGCCGGUCUCAGUUCGGAUUGGGGUCUGCAACUCGACCCCAUGAAGUCGGAGUCGCUAGUAAUCGCAGAUCAGCAACGCUGCGGUGAAUACGUUCCCGGGCCUUGUACACACCGCCCGUCAAGUCACGAAAGUCGGUAACACCCGAAGCCGGUGGCCCAACCCUUGUGGAGGGAGCCGUCGAAGGUGGGACUGGCGAUUGGGACUAAGUCGUAACAAGGUAGCCGUACCGGAAGGUGCGGCUGGAUCACCUCCUUU